CACUCUCUGCAUUAUGACUUCAUUGCUUUUUCCCAGUCCCGCCCUGGGCAAGCCCCUUAUGAAGUCUCAGGCCAUCUGGAUGACCACCCUUUCUUAUGGUGCUGCAAGGAGGGCAGGCUACAACUAGAGUUGACUCCUCUAUUUGAGAUUGACAGGCCUCAGAAGUCAAAAUAAGUGGUUUCCUAGAGCUGGUGGAGAGCAAGUCACUAUUGGUCCCAAGUGAGUUUUUUCAGCUGUUUUUUCAACCAAACAGCACCCCAUCUUCCAGUGAGGGGAAGGGAAGACUGGGCUGACAGCAGCAAGGCUGCUCAUCUCACCUCUCCCCAUCCAGCCAUUCCAGCUGCCACACCUGGUGGGGAGAGGUGGGCCUCACCUGGGUCCCCCAGCAGUGCUCUGUGAAGGGUUUUGACAUUGUACUGUCAUAAUAAAGGUGUGUGUGAAGUAUC